rnacentral:rRNA from 1 species
AUGACACAAUUUUUGUUAUGCCUGCUGAUAAUGUGCAAUUGCUCCAGAUCAAAAACUUGUUGUUGUGCUUUGCUUCUCAAACUAGGCUUCAAAGUAAGCUAUCACAAAUCUGUGGCAAUUCCAAUUAAUGUUGCCUCAUGUAAAAUUGAUUCCAUAAUAACACCCUUGAAUGUCAACUGGGCACCUUUCCUUUCACUUAUUUGGGGUUGCCACUCAACACGAGCAAGCAAAAAAUAUGACUUCAAUGAAGUGCUGCAGAUAAUUGAGGGGAGAAAUUUAGGUUGUUCAACCCUAAUUUCAUAUGAUGGAAGACUACAGCUUAUCAAACCAGUUUUAUCCUCUCCGCCUACCUAUUUCAUGUGA